rnacentral:rRNA from 1 species
GUGCCGCAGCUAACGCAUUAAGCACUCCGCCUGGGGAGUACGACCGCAAGGUUGAAACUCAAAGGAAUUGACGGGGGCCCGCACAAGCGGUGGAGCAUGUGGUUUAAUUCGAAGCUACGCGAAGAACCUUACCAGGUCUUGACAUCUUGCGCCAACCCUAGAGAUAGGGCGUUUCCUUCGGGAACGCAAUGACAGGUGGUGCAUGGUCGUCGUCAGCUCGUGUCGUGAGAUGUUGGGUUAAGUCCCGCAACGAGCGCAACCCUUACUGUUAGUUGCUACGCAAGAGCACUCUAACAGGACUGCCGUUGACAAAACGGAGGAAGGUGGGGACGACGUCAAAUCAUCAUGCCCCUUAUGACCUGGGCUACACACGUGCUACAAUGGACGGUACAACGAGUCGCGAACUCGCGAGGGCAAGCUAAUCUCUUAAAACCGUUCUCAGUUCGGACUGCAGGCUGCAACUCGCCUGCACGAAGUCGGAAUCGCUAGUAAUCGCGGAUCAGCAUGCCGCGGUGAAUACGUUCCCGGGCCUUGUACACACCGCCCGUCACACCAUGAGAGU